UUAGUCACAUGUUUUUUUUCUCAUUGCAGAGAAGAAAUUGAGAAACAGAGGGCUCAUGAAAGGUACAUGAAGUUGCAAGAGCAGGGGAAAACAGAACAAGCAAGAAAGGAUUUGGAGCGUUUGGCUCUUAUCAGACAACAAAGGGCA